CCUACGGGAGGCUGCAGUGGGGGAUAUUGCACAAUGGGGGGAACCCUGAUGCAGCGACGCCGCGUGUGGGAAGACGGUCCUCUGGAUUGUAAACCACUGUCCCCAGGGACGAAAAUGACGGUACCUGGGGAGGAAGCUCCGGCUAACUACGUGCCAGCAGCCGCGGUAAUACGUAGGGAGCGAGCGUUGUCCGGAAUUACUGGGUGUAAAGGGAGCGUAGGCGGGGAUGCAAGUUGGGUGUCAAAACUACCGGCUAAACUGGUAGUCGCACUCAAAACUGCAGCUCUUGAGUGAAGUAGAGGCAGGCGGAAUGCCUGGUGUAGCGGUGAAAUGCGUAGAGAUUAGGAGGAACACCAGUGGCGAAGGCGGCCUGCUGGGCUUUUACUGACGCUGAGGCUCGAAAGUGUGGGGAGCAAACAGGAUUAGAUACCCUUGUAGUC
rnacentral:rRNA from 1 species